AAGCUCAGUAACACGUAGUUAAUCUGCCCGUAUGUCCGGGAUAAUCUCGGGAAACUGAGGCCAGUACCAGAUAGAUAAGAGAUACUGGAAUGUGCUCUUAUCCAAAGCUAUAUGCGCAUAAGGAUGAGACUGCGCCGGAUUAGGUUGUUGCUGGGAUAAUACCCCGGCGAGCCUAUAAUCCGUACGAGCCUUGAGAGAGGGAGCUCGGAGAUGGAUUCUGAGACAAGAAUCCAGGCCCUACGGGGCGCAGCAGGCGCGAAAAUUUCCCAAUGCACGCAAGUGUGAGGAAGGGAUCUGGAGUGUCUUCCAUUAUUUGGGGGACUUUUAUGGAGUGUAAACAGCUUCAAGAAUAAGUGGUGGGUAAGACGGGUGCCAGCCGCCGCGGUAAUACCCGCGCCACGAGUGGUGACCAUUUCUAUUGGGCUUAAAGCGUUCGUAGCCGGUCCAGAAAGUCUCUAGUGAAAUCCCGCAGCCAACUGCGGGGCUUCUAGGGAAACUUCUAGACUUGGGACCGGGAGAGGUCGAGGGUAUUCCAAGGGUAGGGGUAAAAUCCUGUAAUCCUUGGGAGACCAUCUGUGGCGAAGGCGCUCGACCAGAACGGAUCCGACGGUGAGGGACGAAAGCCAGGGGAGCAAAGGGGAUUAGAUACCCCCGUAGUCCUGGCUGUAAACGAUGCCCACUAGACAUUGGCAAUCUUAUGGGGUUGCCAGUGCCGUAGCGAAAGCGUUAAGUGGGCCGCCUGGGGAGUACGGUCGCAAGGCUGAAAUUUAAGCAGCGAUAAAAUCUUUUUACACAUAGCG
rnacentral:rRNA from 1 species